rnacentral:rRNA from 1 species
ACGGGAGGCAGCAGUGGGGAAUAUUGGACAAUGGGCGAAAGCCUGAUCCAGCCAUGCCGCGUGUGUGAAGAAGGCCUUUUGGUUGUAAAGCACUUUAAGUAGGGAGGAAAAGCUAAUGGUUAAUACCCAUUAGCCCUGACGUUACCUACAGAAUAAGCACCGGCUAACUCUGUGCCAGCAGCCGCGGUAAUACAGAGGGUGCAAGCGUUAAUCGGAAUUACUGGGCGUAAAGCGCGCGUAGGUGGUUACUUAAGUCAGAUGUGAAAGCCCCGGGCUUAACCUGGGAACUGCAUCUGAUACUGGGUGACUAGAGUAGGUGAGAGGGGAGUAGAAUUCCAGGUGUAGCGGUGAAAUGCGUAGAGAUCUGGAGGAAUACCGAUGGCGAAGGCAGCUCCCUGGCAUCAUACUGACACUGAGGUGCGAAAGCGUGGGUAGCAAACAGGAUUAGAUACCCUGGUA